CCUGCCUCUAGAAGGAUGGCAGGUGUGGCUGCACGUACUGUGCGUCAGUCAGUAGGUGGCAGAGAGGAGAGAGGCUAUGACUACUCUCAGUGUUCUGACCUGUGAGCAUCUGACUGAUUAGUAGUCUAACUUU